GGUUUAAUUCGAAGCAACGCGAAGAACCUUACCAGGGCUUGACAUGCCGCUGACCGGUGCAGAGAUGCAUCUUUAUCCUUCGGGGUACAGCGGACACAGGUGGUGCAUGGUUGUCGUCAGCUCGUGUCGUGAGAUGUUGGGUUAAGUCCCGCAACGAGCGCAACCCUUGUCUUUAGUUGCCAUCAUUAAGUUGGGCACUCUAAAGAGACUGCCGAUGACAAAUCGGAGGAAGGUGGGGAUGACGUCAAAUCAUCAUGCCCUUUAUGUCCUGGGCUACACACGUGCUACAAUGGUCGGUACAACGAGAAGCAAGUCAGCGAUGGCAAGCAAAUCUCUAAAAGCCGAUCCCAGUUCGGAUUGCAGGCUGCAACUCGCCUGCAUGAAGUCGGAGUUGCUAGUAAUCGCGGAUCAGAAUGCCGCGGUGAAUGCGUUCCCGGGUCUU
rnacentral:rRNA from 2 species